rfam:Triticum aestivum genome assembly, contig: Triticum_aestivum_CS42_TGACv1_scaffold_129557_2BL
GAUCUACUCCCUCCGUUCGGAAUUACUUGUUACAAAAAUGGAUGUAUCUACAACUAAAAUACAUCUAGAUACAUUCAUUUCUUGAACGAGUAAUUCCGAACGAAGGGAGUAUAUC